AACGAACGCUGGCGGCAGGCCUAACACAUGCAAGUCGAGCGCACCCUUCGGGGUGAGCGGCGGACGGGUGAGUAACGCGUGGGAACGUGCCCUUCUCUGCGGAAUAGCCUCGGGAAACUGAGAGUAAUACCGCAUACGCCCUUUGGGGGAAAGAUUUAUCGGAGAAGGAUCGGCCCGCGUUGGAUUAGGUAGUUGGUGGGGUAAUGGCCCACCAAGCCGACGAUCCAUAGCUGGUUUGAGAGGAUGAUCAGCCACACUGGGACUGAGACACGGCCCAGACUCCUACGGGAGGCAGCAGUGGGGAAUCUUAGACAAUGGGGGCAACCCUGAUCUAGCCAUGCCGCGUGAGUGAUGAAGGCCUUAGGGUUGUAAAGCUCUUUCAGCUGGAAAGAUAAUGACGGUACCAGCAGAAGAAGCCCCGGCUAACUCCGUG
rnacentral:rRNA from 1 species